GAUGAAGAACGCAGCGAAAUGCGAUAAGUAAUGUGAAUUGCAGAAUUCAGUGAAUCAUCGAAUCUUUGAACGCACCUUGCGCUCCUUGGUAUUCCGAGGAGCAUGCCUGUUUGAGUGUCAUUAAAUUCUCAACCUCACCAGUUUUCUGAACUGACCGAGGCUUGGAUGUGGGGGUUUGUGCAGGCUGCCUCACGGCGGUCUGCUCCCCUGAAAUGCAUUAGCGAGGUUCAUGCUGAACUUCCGUCUAUUGGUGUGAUAAUUAUCUACGCCGUGGACGAGGAUCAGACUCGCUUCUAACCGUCCGCGAGGACAAUACCUUGACAAUUUGACCUCAAAUCAGGUAGGACUACCCGCUGAACUUAAGCAUAUCAAUAAGCGGAGGA
rnacentral:misc_RNA from 1 species